rnacentral:rRNA from 1 species
AGUGGGGAAUAUUGGACAAUGGGCGCAAGCCUGAUCCAGCCAUGCCGCGUGAGUGAUGAAGGCCUUAGGGUUGUAAAGCUCUUUUGUCCGGGAAGAUAAUGACUGUACCGGAAGAAUAAGCCCCGGCUAACUUCGUGCCAGCAGCCGCGGUAAUACGAAGGGGGCUAGCGUUGCUCGGAAUCACUGGGCGUAAAGCGCACGUAGGCGGACUCUUAAGUCGGGGGUGAAAUCCCAGAGCUCAACUCUGGAACUGCCCUCGAUACUGGGAGUCUUGAGUAUGGUAGAGGUUGGUGGAACUGCGAGUGUAGAGGUGAAAUUCGUAGAUAUUCGCAAGAACACCAGUGGCGAAGGCGGCCAACUGGACCAUUACUGACGCUGAGGUGCGAAAGCGUGGGGAGCAAA